CAUAAUACUCCAAUUUCAGUACAUUCAUAAUGACGCUGAGCAAAAUAAACAAGCUCCGAGACACAAGCAACAUAAUAUUACCGCAUUAUCUUAUUAAUAUGAUGUCCAUCUCCACUAAUUGCUCUACAAGAAAUCUCUGGGAUCCGUAACGAAGCCUGUCAGCGCUGAUGCUGCAGCAGUAAAUGGCGAAGCCAAAUAGACCUGGCCUUCUUUGUGCCCCAUCCUACCCGGGAAGUUCCUAUUUGUCGUAGACACACAGACCUGAGCGUCAUUCAUCCGAGCGUAAGUGUCACGAGGGCCACCCAGGCAAGCCCCACAACUAGGACUUGCUGGGGUAUCACAGCCAGCUUCCUCGAAAAUCUGAGAGCAAGUCUUGCCACCAGAUCCUGGAACUGGGAGGCUAUAAACAUCCAUCCAUACCUUUUGGGUG
rnacentral:misc_RNA from 1 species